rnacentral:rRNA from 1 species
CGGAGGAAAAGAAACUAACAAGGAUUCCCUUAGUAACGGCGAGUGAAGCGGGAAGAGCUCAAAUUUGAAAUCUUCAAGGUUCUACCUUGACGAAUUGUAGUUUAAAGAAGUGUUUUCUGUUAGAUGAGUAGCAAAAGUUCCUUGGAAUGGGACAUCAUAGAGGGUGAGAAUCCCGUAUUUGGUUAUUCAUUCUAGCUUUGUGAUACACUUUCAAAGAGUCGGAUUGUUUGGGAAUGCAGUCCAAAAUGGGUGGUAAAUUUCAUCUAAAGCUAAAUAUUGGCGAGAGACCGAUAGCGAACAAGUACCGUGAGGGAAAGAUGAAAAGAACUUUGAAAAGAGAGUUAAACAGUACGUGAAAUUGUCAAAAGGGAAGCGUUUGACACCAGUGUUGUUUUUCCGAAAAUCAAUUACGAAUGGCUUGAUUUUGUGUUGUAUUGACCUUAUCAGCUUUCUUCACUUUUUUCGAGUCUUUCUUAAUGCACUUUUCGGUUAACAAGUCAACAUCAAUUUCUUUUGUUGUAAAAGAGUAUUCGGAAGGUGGCUUUCUUUUCGGAGAAAGUGUUUAUAGCCCUAUACUUCUACAAUCGGAGAGAUUGAGGUCUGCAGCGUAGAUCCUUCGGGGUUAGAUACAUUUGUGCUAAGUUGUAGCUUUUCAUAGACAACUUGU